rnacentral:tRNA from 1 species
GAGGGUACAGCUCAGUGGUAGAGCUCAUGUGUGGAAUUUACGAGGUCCUGGGUUCAAUUCCCAGUACCACCA